UGGGGAAUAUUGGACAAUGGGCGCAAGCCUGAUCCAGCCAUGCCGCGUGAGUGAUGAAGGCCUUAGGGUUGUAAAGCUCUUUCGCCGGUGAAGAUAAUGACGGUAACCGGAGAAGAAGCCCCGGCUAACUUCGUACCAGCAGCCGCGGUAAUACGAAGGGGGCUAGCGUUGCUCGGAAUCACUGGGCGUAAAGCGCACGUAGGCGGAUCGUUAAGUCAGGGGUGAAAUCCUGGAGCUCAACUCCAGAACUGCCCUUGAUACUGGCGAUCUCGAGUUCGAGAGAGGUUGGUGGAACUCCGAGUGUAGAGGUGAAAUUCGUAGAUAUUCGGAAGAACACCAGUGGCGAAGGCGGCCAACUGGCUCGAUACUGACGCUGAGGUGCGAAAGCGUGGGGAGCAAAACAGGAUUAGAUACCCUGGUAGUCCACGCCGUAAAACGAUGGAUGCUAGCCGUUGGGGGGUUUACCUCUCAGUGGCGCAGCUAACGCCUUAAGCAUCCCGCCUGGGGAGUACGGUCACAAGAUUAAAACUU
rnacentral:rRNA from 1 species